rnacentral:rRNA from 1 species
CUAAGGAGUUCACUGCAUGUGCAAGAGUUCGGCUGUAUGAAAAGCCUUGCUCGUAAUGAAAGUAAAGAACAUUCUUGCAAUGUUUGAAGUGUGAUUUCUGUCAUCUUGGUGCAAAUCAUGACAAUGAACGCAACACUGACAGGUUCUAUUGCCGCUGGCAAAGAGCUUAGUAAGAGUAUAUGCAAUGAGACCCGAAAGAUGGUGAACUUAACGUGUGUAGAAUGAAGCCAGGGGAAACCCUGGUGGAAGUUCGUAGCGGUUCUGACGUGCAAAUCGAUCGUCAAACAUGCGUAUAGGGGCGAAAGACUAAUCGAACCAUCUA